GAUAGCAGCUGGACGGCUGAAAGCUCUGCAGGAAAAGAAAACAAGAGCGAAAAGUAUCUUAGCAAAGUUGGCUGAAGUGUGAAACUCCAAACUUCUGUUUAGAUUUUCUGGUUUUUGAAAGAGCCACAACAACUUUUAAACGGACUGAAGUGACAUUUGCCGACUAUUCUGUAGCGAGAACCAGUCGAUUAACUCUUCGUUCUCCACCUGCCGAUCAGCGCUCGGUCGAUGCUUGCCGCUUACCUCCAUACAGAUGGGAGGUCAGAGGUUUGAAAGGUCGGGACUGUGUGCAGAGUUUGCCCGGCUGUCUGGAAAAUAUGAUACCGUGCCCAAGGAAAUCACCAACCUUCCAAUUAGAAGAUGACCCACUCUACCUCCUGAGCCAAAGGCACCCCAGGUGUAGGGGGAAUAAACCGAGUGGCCAACCAGGAGGCGUGAAUUGGGAAACUAAUUUCUGGUUAUGAUUGUGCCAACAUAAUCAUAACACAACAUGGUCUGUUGUUCAUCCCACCACAGAUGAGGUGGUUAUGCCAGAGGUCUUUGUAUUAAAAGGGAGUUCCUUCUCCCCACUCUCACCAAAUGCUUGCCCAUAGGGAACUACUUGACCUUUCCUGAAGCUCACUUUUCCUACUUUUCCAGCACACUGACUGUGAGAACUGACUGGUCACUUAAUACCUGACACAUUUCAGACGUUUACAUGUACUGUUGCUUUGAGAAAUCUCACUUAAUCAUCUAAUAAAAUCCUUGUCCAGGUAGGUUAAAACACUGCAUACACAAGAGGUGAUUCACAGAAAGUUUCAGAGAGUAGAAAUGUACAGUAUGUGUGACAUUAAUAAGACAGGGACACACCAGGUUGAAGGCAGACUCUUGUUGUUGGACUCAGUCCAAACCACUCUAAAGCACCUUGCACCACUUUGCUGAUUGAUGCUUACAUAGUUUGGCUCAGAGCCCAAAAUCCACAGUAUCUUCACCUUAAGACAAGUGAAUGUACUUUUACUGCAUGUGUCUAUGUACCCAAUCCCGUACACACUCAUGUUAUGUGGCUAUUGUGCAGCUUUGACAUAAAAACUAUUCAAAAUCAGUUGACUGUAAUUACUGCCAGACUUCUGGUGAACCACCUCUCACAGGCCAGGGACUGAUCCCCAUCCAUCCUGCCAAAAUGGCAGUUUUAUAGCCUCUUUCAGGACUGUCUUCAGUUGGCCAAUGGGAUGGGGCAAGUCUCUGCCUGAACAGGGUGCAAACAAAGGGAUACAUCUGGCUGAGAAAUGAAUAUGUUGCCCAAGGGUUGUUGGUCAUGUUCUUGGCCUGGAGAAUGAAAUCAUUAUUGAAUCAUUUAUACUGCCCGGUCUGUCGUACUUCUUACCCUAAUGUGGUUAUGACUAAUUAUUCGAUGAUAAGGAUUCUUUGAAAACUCUGUUGACCCGUCUUUGUUAAAAUGUUUAUCACUGAAGUCUGUUUUUCAAAUUUUCUUUCAGUUUGAUUUCCUCCUCUGAAUUUUUUUUAAACACAUGAAGCCAGUUUGAAAUUUUAGU